rnacentral:rRNA from 1 species
UCGGGAAUAUUGCACAAUGGAGGAAACUCUGAUGCAGUGACGCCGCGUGCAGGAAGAAGGUUUUCGGAUUGUAAACUGCUUUAGAUAGGGAAGAUAAAAGACUGUACCUAUAGAAUAAGCUCCGGCUAACUACGUGCC